UAGACCGCCUGGGGAGUACGGCCGCAAGGUUAAAACUCAAAUGAAUUGACGGGGGCCCGCACAAGCGGUGGAGCAUGUGGUUUAAUUCGAUGCAACGCGAAGAACCUUACCUGGUCUUGACAUCCACGGAAGUAUUCAGAGAUGGAUUUGUGCCUUCGGGAACCGUGAGACAGGUGCUGCAUGGCUGUCGUCAGCUCGUGUUGUGAAAUGUUGGGUUAAGUCCCGCAACGAGCGCAACCCUUAUCCUUUGUUGCCAGCGAUUAGGUCGGGAACUCAAAGGAGACUGCCAGUGAUAAACUGGAGGAAGGUGGGGAUGACGUCAAGUCAUCAUGGCCCUUACGACCAGGGCUACACACGUGCUACAAUGGCGCAUACAAAGAGAAGCGACCUCGCGAGAGCAAGCGGACCUCAUAAAGUGCGUCGUAGUCCGGAUUGGAGUCUGCAACUCGACUCCAUGAAGUCGGAAUCGCUAGUAAUCGUGGAUCAGAAUGCCACGGUGAAUACGUUCCCGGGCCUUGUACACACCGCCCGUCACACCAUGGGAGUGGGUUGCAAAAGAAGUAGGUAGCUUAACCUUCGGGAGGGCGCUUACCACUUUGUGAUUCAUGACUGGGGUGAAGUCGUAACAAGGUAACCGUAGGGGAACCUGCGGUUGGAUCACCUCCUUACCUUAAAGAAGC
rnacentral:rRNA from 1 species